GGAUUAGAUACCCUGGUAGUCCACGCCGUAAACGAUGAUCACUAGCUAUUGGCGAUACACUGUCAGUGGCACAGCGAAAGUGUUAAGUGAUCCACCUGGGGAGUACGAUCGCAAGGUUGAAACUCAAAGGAAUUGACGGGGGCCCGCACAAGCGGUGGAGCAUGUGGUUUAAUUCGAUGAUACGCGAGGAACCUUACCAGGGCUUAAAUGUAUGUUGACAUAUUGGGAAACCAGUAUUUCUUCGGACAAUAUACAAGGUGCUGCAUGGCCGUCGUCAGCUCGUGCUG
rnacentral:rRNA from 1 species